UUGGCACAAAGAUGAGGAUAUGAAUAUUAUUGUUGCAAAAUCAUCAUUUCCAGAGUAAUCUCAAUGCUUUGAAGCAUACCCUUCUAUCACUUUCACGGUGUUCUCUCCAAAGCUUUUUCCUUUCUUUUGCAGUCUUCACAGCUUCUGGUUGUUUUGGUUACCUUCACAGUGAUCAGUUGCCUUAACAGAAGAGAAGUGGCUACGAAAUUCACAACUUGGACCGUUACUUCUCAUCGUUGAGAGUGUUCAAUGAAGAAGAUGUAGUUGAGAUGUAGCAUGGACUCUCUAAUAGCUGGUUUGCAUAAGUUCCUGACAUCGCCUCUAUUAAAGGCAUGGCUAAAUGAGCAAUUGAUUCACCUCAAGUCGUAUGAAGCAAGAGUUCGUGAACUAAAAGGUGUUGUCGAGAACCUCAAGAAUGUGAGAGAUGAAAUUCAGCACAAAGUGGAUGAGGAAGAAUUACGACGUGGAAGAGAAAUUCCUGUUGAAGAGAAAGAAUGGAUAGAACGGGUGGAAGAACUAAUUUCUGAAUAUGUGGAUUUCAUCAAGGACCCAGACCAUAAACUUGCGUUGUUUGACUUGUGGGAGAGUGGUUACCUUCCCAAACCGGGAAUAAGGUAUCGUCAAAGCAGAAAAGCAUAUGAUAUUACAAGGAAGGCCAAUGGUUUAUUGCAAAGGGCAAAUUUUGACACAUUUUCUUACUGGUCUGGUCCACCUUCCAUGG